rnacentral:rRNA from 1 species
AACGAACGCUGGCGGCAUGCCUAACACAUGCAAGUCGAACGAGACCUUCGUGUCUAGUGGCGCACGGGUGCGUAACGCGUGGGAACCUUCCCUUAUGUUCGGAAUACCUCCCCGAAAGGGGUGCUAAUACCGGAUAAUUUCUUCGGACCAAAGAUUUAUCGUCUUUGUAUGGGCCCGCGUUGGUUUAGCUUGUUGGUAGGGUAAAAGCCUAUCAAGGCUACGAUACAUAGCUGGUUUGAGAGGAUGAUCAGCCACACUGGGAGUGAGAAACGGCCGAGACUACUACGGGAGGCAGCAGAGGGGGAUAUAGGAAGAUGGGGGGAAGGCUGAACCAGCAAUGGCGCGUGAGUGAUGAAGGCCUUAGGGUUGUAAAGCUGUUUUACCCGGGAUGAUAAUGACAGUACCGGGAGAAUAAGCACCGGCUAACUCCGUG